rnacentral:tRNA from 1 species
GGGCUGGUAGUUCAGCGGUAGAAUGCCUGCUCGGCAUGUAGGAGGCCGCGAGUUCGAAUCUCGCCCAGUCCA